ensembl:lncRNA
AUCUUGGUCAGUUCUCUGGACCUCCAACACCCGCAUCUGGUCUCUCAUUCAAGGAUUCCUCUUAGCUUAAGAGGAUUCACCAUAACCAACCCCUCCUAGCUUCAGAAGAUUCACCAUAACCAACCCCUCCUAGCUUCAGAGGAUUCACCAUAUCCAACCCUGCUUAGCCUCAGAGGAUUCACCAUGUCCAACCCUGCUUAGCCUCAGAGGAUUCACCAUAUCCAACCCUGCUUAGCCUCAGAGGAUUCACCAUAUCCAACCCUGCUUAGCCUCCGAGGAUUCACCAUAUCCAACCCUGUUUAGCCUCAGAGGAU